rnacentral:misc_RNA from 1 species
UUUCCGUAGGUGAACCUGCGGAAGGAUCAUUAAAAAAUUGGACUCCAUUGGUGAGUUCAUUAAUAAUCCUACCCUUUGUGAAUUUGUUUGUUUGAAUAAUUUUUUUUCCAAAAAAAAUUAUUGAAUGUCUUUCCCUGUUUUGGUGGAGCUUGUAAAGUGAAACCAGGCAGGGGAAUGGCAAACAAUAAUUAUUUUUGAAAAAGACCUUUUUUAAAAUUAAACUUUUUGUAUUCAUUUGUCUAAAAUUAUUUUUAUAAUAUAAAAACAACCUUUGACAAUGGAUCUCUUGGUUCUCGCAACGAUGAAGAACGCAGCAAAAUGCGAUAAGUAGUGUGAAUUGCAGAAUACGUGAAUCAUCGAAUCUUCGAACGCAUAUUGCACUUUUUUAGUUUACUAAAAAGUAUGUCUGUUUGAGUAUCAGUAAAAUAUUCUCAUAAAAACAUUGUUUUUUAUGGUUAUGAGUGUUUUACAACGAUAACAAGUUGUUUCACUUUAAAUUCUUUGUUAUCAAAAAAAUCAUUAAAAGCUAAUUUUAAAGAUUUUUUAAAAUUGGAUAAAAUUUUCCCGUAAAAAGGAAUAACCUAAACAAUUUUAAAAAAUUAAAAUUGGUUUGAUUUUUCUUGAUAACAAAGGAAAAAAAAACGAAAUUAACUUGAUCUCAAAUCAGAUAAGAGUACCCGCUGAACUUAAGCAUAUCAAUAAGCGGAGGAAAAGAAACUAACUAGGAUUCCCUCAGUAACGGCGAGUGAAGCGGGAAGAGCUCAAAUUUGAAAUCUUCAAGGUUUUACCUUGACGAAUUGUAGUUUAAAGAAGUGUUUCUGUUGGAGUUUUGGUAAAAGUUCUUUGGAAAAGGACAUCAUAGAGGGUGAGAAUCCCGUAUUUGACCAUUAUCUCCAGCUUUGUGAUACACUUUCAAAGAGUCGGAUUGUUUGGGAAUGCAGUCCAAAAUGGGUGGUAAAUUUCAUCUAAAGCUAAAUACUGGCGAGAGACCGAUAGCGAACAAGUACCGUGAGGGAAAGAUGAAAAGAACUUUGAAAAGAGAGUUAAACAGUACGUGAAAUUGUCAAAAGGGAAGCGUUUGACACCAGUGUUGUUUUCUCGAAAAUCAAUUAAAAAAGGCCGGAUUUUGUGUUGUAUUGACUUUAUCAGCUUUCUGCACUUUUUUCUUGUCUUUUUUAAUGCACUUUUCGUUUAACAAGUCAACAUCAAUUUCUUUUGUUGUAAAAGGGUCAUUGGAAGGUGGCUUUCUUUUCGGAGAAAGUGUUUAUAGCCUUUGGCCUCUGCAAUCGGAGAGAUUGAGGUCUGCAGCGUAGAUCCUUCGGGUUAGAUACAUUUGUGCUAAGUUAUAGCCUUUCAUAGACAACUUGUUGACUAUGAUCAGUCAUGUAGCUUACUCGCUUAUGCUAUUUUACCUACGCUUAGGAUGUUGAA